GGGGGGGUGUGGCGUGGGUGAGGGAAGGAAAGGAAAACUAAAAGCCGAACCCAAAACCAAAAAACUGCACCAAAAAAUUAACCAGUCAAAUUCAGUUCAGUUUUAGUCAUUCUACUCAAAAUUUUGGUCCACUCAUUUUUAAGUGAAGAGUUAAUUGAAUUGGAAAAAUACUAUAUAAAAAUAUUAACCAUAUAAAAUUCCAGACUAGCAUUAUUAAAUUAAAUAUUGUUAAUAUUUAAUUCUCAUCUCAUUUGAAGAGGACCAACAUCAGUUGAUCAAUCUAACAUCUCACUUGAUGGCAUGUUCAAAUAGGUGAGGAGACAGAACAUCUCAUGUCUUUCUGACGAGGGACAAGAAAAGGAAUCUCUUAAGAAUUACCAGCUUCUAUUCAACAGUUCAAGAGAUCUCAUCAUAUAACAUUGUCUUGAAGGUACUUUAAAUAUCUCUCUAUACUCUAGAUUAACUAAUUACAAGUUACAAAAUGCUCAAGUGUGGAAUAAUAUUAAAAAAAAAACUGUCAAAUAUUGUUGGUUUUCUAUAGCGUUUGCUUGCAAACACUUCUAGUUUUGUUACAAAGUGGAUCAUUUGUCUUUUGUGCCUCCUUGAAAUGAUAUUGACGUGGGAAAAUUUAUCCCACAUUGAAAGGUGAUAGAGAAGCGAGGUGAAACCUUUAAAGCUUUAAAAGUUUUGUAAGCCUUCUCAGAUUGUAUUGUUUUGUGUACUGAUUAAUGAAAAAUAAUAAUGUUCAUCUAAGACAUUAACAGAUGGAUUGUACCUUGAAUGCCUUAAAGCUCAUUUAUAAUUUUCAAACCAAUAUGAGGGCAAUUACACUAAGCCCCUUCAAGGGUAGGAUGGAGAAGGAACCCACAGAAAGUUUUGGUACUCUUCCAUCAUCAAUGUGUUAAUAGAAACAGAACUCCAGAAGUUAGGCUUUCUGCCUUCAUCAAUUUCUAUUAUGGUUGACAUGUUUUCCUCUUACAUGCAUGCCUUAUAACAUAAAACCAACCAACCCUGCUUGGCGUUUGACAUAUUUAGUAGCAUGAUAACUUUACCAACAUGUUUUUUUGGUUUUCCGUCGUAAGUGAUGAUUCACAAGCAUCAGCAAUCAAAGAAUGUUAAAAAUCAUAUGUGAAUCGAGUCAUGCCCAUGACACUAGCCUAAUGAAUUGAUAAAGGAACAAAAUUAAACUCGAACACACACACACAAUCGCAUGUAAAAUAAUUAACCCAGAAAAGCAAAUCUUACUCUUGAAGAUUUCACCAUUUGAUACUACAAAAAACAAUGAAUUCCACAAGACUUGGAACUAAUUUCUAAUACCAAUAGGUGGGGUAAGCUAAGGUAGUUAUUUCUCUGGAAACUACAAAUAGAGAGAAGACAAAAAAAAGUCCAUUUUUUUGCUCUAUCUACUCAUUAUCCAUCAGCAAAAUUUUCAUAUAUCUUAUUGCAAUAUGAACAUUAAACA
rnacentral:misc_RNA from 1 species